rnacentral:rRNA from 1 species
GACGAACGCUGGCGGCGUGCCUAACACAUGCAAGUCGAGCGGAGUCAGUAAGAGGAAGUUUUCGGAUGGAAUCUUAUUGAUUUAGCGGCGGACGGGUGAGUAACGCGUGAGCGACCAACCUUGCACAGGGGGAUAACGGACCGAAAGGUUCACUAAUACCGCAUGAGACCACGGUGUUGCAUGACACAGGGGUCAAAGGAGUAAUCCGGUGCAAGACGGGCUCGCGUCCGAUUUGGUAGUUGGAGGGGUAACGGCCCACCAAGCCUAUGAUCGGUAGCCGACGUGAGAGGGUGAUCGGGCACAUUGGAACGGAGAUACGGUCCAAACUCCUACGGGAGGCAGCAGUGGGGAAUAUUGGGCAAUGGGGGAAACCCUGACCCAGCAACGCCGCGUGAAGGAAGAAGGUUUUCGGAUUGUAAACUUCUGUCCUUGGUGAAGAGAAGAAGACGGUAGCCAAGGAGGAAGCCCCGGCUAACUACGUGCCAGCAGCCGCGGUAA